GUGUAUGGGAAGAAAAUUUAGAAUUGAAUAAAGGGACAAAAAGCAGCUUGUGGUAGUUAGAGAACUGAAAGCAGGGGAGGUGUGUAUAGGUCAUAGAAAGUGUGUGGUACUUAUUAAGAAAUAAAUUAAAAGGGGACAUAAAAUAUCAUAGAAUCAUGGAGUUGUACCAUCAUGUGCAAGCUGACCUUUCUGCCCAUCUACACUAAUCCCAUUUACGUCUACAUAUGAUCAGAGAGAGACAGGACAGAAAGUGGAGUGAGACUGGCAACUCAACAAUCCAGGGUGCAGAAUUUUAAAGCUUGACACGCAGGCCUCGAAGAGGAGUUGACUUUUUAAAAAUGAAUAAUGAAUACGCUGCCAUGGAAUGAGUAAUGUUGCCUCAUUAGGCUUUUCAAAUGAGAUCAUAUCAGAAAUAAAAAGAGUGUAUUCAUUCUGCUGGGGGAUAUCGGAGUCAAUACUUUCUUGACCUUGCCUACUAACAUGUUUGUCUAAAUGAAUCUGAAACAUAGCAUUGUAUUUGUUUCUACCACCUGGCAGCAGGUUCCAGAUAUUGAUCACUUAGUGUAAAAAAAAUCUACCGCUUAGAUCCCUGUUAAAACAUCUUUCUCUCAGCUUAAAAGUUUCCCCUUUGCUUUUUGAUACCCUUACUAUCGCAAAAAAAUACCAUCUAGUCUAUCAAUGUUUCUCAUAAUCAGAUAUGCUUCUAUCACAUCACAUCUCAGCCUCUUUCACUCCAAGGAAAACAAAUCUAUUUAACUCUCUGUGAAUAAAACAUUCCAACUCAGGCAACAUCCUGGUGAACAGAGACAUCAAAGAGGGCAGAUCUGGAGCAAAAACCAAACAGUUGGAAUAAUUCAUCAGGUCAGGAAGCAUCUGUGGAGGCAAAGGGUGGUGAACCUCCUCUCCAGGGCAAUUGUAUUUUUCAUAUGAUAUCGUGAUUAGAAUUGCACAGAAGAACUAUGAGUUAGAACUUAGAACACACGAACCGGCCAAUUGGCCCACAGUGCUGUGCCGUAGCAAUUAAAUUAGUAAACAAAUGGCCAAUAAGCUAAUUUCCUCUGCCUACACAAUGUCCAUAUCCUUCUAUUUCCUUCACAUUCAUGUGCCUAUCUAGAAAUCUCUUAAAAGUCCCAGACAUACCUUCCUCUACCACCACCCCAGGUAGCGCGUUCCAAGCAUCCACCUCCUUGACCUCCUUUAAACUUACCCCCCUCACCUUAAAUGCAGGACCUCUGGUAUUAGACAUUACAACACUAUAAAAAAUAUACUAUCUAUGUACUCCACCUAUGCCACUCAACCUCUAUCAGAUAUUCCCCAGACACCAGUUUUGAGGAAGUAAGUCUACAGAAGGACUUAGACAGAUUAGGAGAACGGGCAAAGAAAUGGCGGGUGGAAUAUAGUGUUGGGAAGUGUGAUAGAAGAAAUCAAAGUAUUGACUAUUGUCUAAAUGGAGAGAAAAUACAAAAAUCUGAGGUGCAAAGGGAUUUGGAAGUCCUUGUGCAGGAUUCCCUAAAGGUUAAUUUGCAGGUUGAGUCCAUGGUGAGGAAGGCAAAGUUCAAAUUCAUUUCAGGAGGACUAGCAUAUAAAAGCAAGGAUGUAAGGUUGAAACUUUGUAAAGCACCGGUGAGGCCUCACUUGGAGUAUUGUAAGCAGGUUUUGGACCCCUUAUCUUAGGAAGGAUGUACUGAAACUGGAGAGGUUUCAAAGGAGGUUCACAAAAAUGAUUCCAGGAUUGAAAGGUUUGUCUCAAGAAGAGCAUUUGAUGGCUCUGGGGCUGUGUUCACUAGAAUUUGGAAGAAUGAGGGGUGACCUUAUUUAAACCUAUUGAAUGGUGGAAGACCUUGAUAGAGUGGAUAUGGAAAGGGUGUUCCUAUGAUCAAAGAGUCUAAGUCCAGAGGACACAGCCUCAGAACAGAGAAGCGUCCUUUUAGAAUGGAGGUGAGGAGGAAUUUCUUUAGCCAGAUGGUGGUGAAUCUGUGGAAUUAUUUGCCACAGGCAGCUGUGGAGGCUAAGUCUUUAUGUAUAUUUAAGGCAGAGGUUGAUAGAUUCUUGACUGGUCAGUGCAUGAAGGAAUACGGAGAGAAGGCAGGAGACUGGGGCUUAGAGAAAAAUUGGAUCAGCCAUGACGAUAUGGCAGAGCAGACUCAAUAGGCCAAAUGGCCUAAUUCUGCUGCUAUAUCUUAUGGUCCCACACAAAUAUGAUUGCAUAGCGGAGAACACAGAGAAAAGUUGCCAGGAUGCUGCUUGGAUUCAAGGACUUUAGAUAUGGGAAGAGUUUGGAUACACUGCGAUGGUUUUCCUUCGAGUGAAGAAGGCUGAAGAAUAACUUAAUGGAGGUAUAUAAAAUGAUAAGAAGUAUAGACAGAGUAAUCAGCAUUUUUUUUCCUAUGGUAGGACACCAAAAGCAAUAUUUAUGGUUUAAGGCAUAGGUUUAAGUGAGAAGGAAGUGUUUUAAUGGGGAUCUGAAGGGAAAGUCUUUUACAUAGCUGAAAUUGGCUACCAUAGGAGGUGGUGGAAUCAGUUAGGGUUACAGUGUUUAAGUGGUAUUGGACAGGCAAGGCACAGAAGGGUGCAGGAAAAUGGAAUUAGUGUAUAUGGGCAAAAUGUUUGCCAUGGAUGUAGUGGUCUGAAGGGCUUGUAUCUGAGCUGUGUAACUCCUAUAACUUUAUGUCAAACUCAUAAAGAAAAAAGGCUCAUGGCUGGAAGUAGUGACUUGGUUUGGUAUGAUGCCAACAUUGAAAUAAUGGGCUGAAUGGUCUUGUGUGCAGUAUACCAUUUAUGAUUCUGUAUUUCAAUGACUUGAUGAUAGUUAGCAUUAGCCUCCUCAUUUAAAUUUCUUAAUUGCUGUUCCCACAUCUCGUUAUUGUUCAUUGUUCAUCUUCAUUGUUGCAGAAGAUGACUGUAUCUCAUAAUGAUUGAGAACGAAGGUACUGCUCACAAUAUGCAUGCUUUCAAAUAGUGUACUCUCCACUGGUUGAAUUGAUGCAAUCCAAUUUUCAGCCCACAAUGUCUCAUAUUUUAAAGGAGUGCAAAAUCAGAUAGAGCUGAGCCUCUUUAGUUAAUAUAUUGCAGACAGCCUUAGCCUAUGGGCUUCUUGUUUAAAGCUCUCUGGCAACACAUAGACACCCCAGAUUGAUAACACGUGACAACUCGUGCAACUUAUCCAGUCUAUCCUUCCUUGAAGCUUGUAUAUAAAGAGCUCACAAAAACAUUGGCUAUGAGAGUUGCUAACUACCACCUUGUCAAAAACAUCAAGAUUUUUUAAAAAAAGGGAUCCAGUGAAGAGAUAAUUUUACUUAAAUCAUCCAUCUCUAUACAAGAUACUUGUUCAACAAUGCUUAACCCACUGCAAAGAAUGAUACCUGGAUAUAUCAGAAUACUGAAGGCUAAGGCUCCUGGAAAAUUGCCUCCAUGUAGGACAGACGCACUGAUGCAACGCUCAGCCUUGUUUCUUGGCAUGUUAGGCUUCAGCAUGAAUUAUUACAGUACAUGGCAAAUGCACCUCCAGCAGAAGUCAGCCUGAAAUGUUGAAGUCGGACACUGAUGAGGUCAAUGCUGCCUGUUCAGAGUUGAACAAUGAAGUUGACAUGGUGAUGGAUGUCAUCAGACUGCAUAUCUUACUAUGCGCAAUGGCUCGAUAUUCAAAAUGCAAAUACACUAUGAGAGCAAUAAUUUGUCCUUGCAAAAGGAAUUGGCGUCACCAGUGCAGAGUGUUUGUAUUCUGAGAAAUUCUGCUGUUUGUAAUUACUUACCUGAGAUGAGAAUUUAGGAUAAGCUAUGCUGAAGUAGGGUGUGGAAGAAACAGAUAAUGUGACGUGCAGUGCUGCCAUAGACUGUAAUGCACACUGUAUCACCUGUUUGAAAUCCAUUCAAAAGAUUCUAUUGCUCUCUUCUCAAAGGACUACAGUAAUCUGAAAAAUGAAUGCAAACUAAGCUAACUAAUUGAUUAUUGUAUCUUCCUUUUAUGGAUGAAAAUGAGCGUGAUAGGAGAAAGAUUGAGAUAAAUGCACCAAAAAGAUAAAUGUAUCUAAAGGAAUCAAAACAUUAACUUUUAUUAAGGCUUGAAAAUGUUGGAUUAAGUUGAGGCUUCCACGGUUUGUUGUCUCAUCAGGUUUAUCUUAAUUUUCUGUCAAGGAUCAAUAGAACCAUUGAAAAUGAACAAAAAUAAAUAAUCCAAUGAAUUAUUA